UUAAGCGACUAAGCGUACACGGUGGAUGCCCUGGCAGUCAGAGGCGAUGAAGGACGUGCUAAUCUGCGAAAAGCGUCGGUAAGGUGAUAUGAACCGUUACAGCCGGCGAUGUCCGAAUGGGGAAACCCAGUGCAAUUCGUUGCACUAUCGUUAACUGAAUACAUAGGUUAACGAAGCGAACCGGGGGAACUGAAACAUCUAAGUACCCCGAGGAAAAGAAAUCAACCGAGAUUCCCCCAGUAGCGGCGAGCGAACGGGGAGCAGCCCAGAGUCUGAAUCAGCUUGUGUGUUAGUGGAACGGUCUGGAAAGUCCGACGGUACAGGGUGAUAGUCCCGUACACCAAAAUGCACAGGCUGUGAACUCGAAGAGUAGGGCGGGACACGUGGUAUCCUGUCUGAAUAUGGGGGGACCAUCCUCCAAGGCUAAAUACUCCUGACUGACCGAUAGUGAACCAGUACCGUGAGGGAAAGGCGAAAAGAACCCCGGCGAGGGGAGUGAAAAAGAACCUGAAACCGUGUACGUACAAGCAGUGGGAGCACCUUCGGGUGUGACUGCGUACCUUUUGUAUAAUGGGUCAGCGACUUAUAUUCUGUAGCAAGGUUAACCGUAUAGGGGAGCCGCAGGGAAACCGAGUCUUAACUGGGCGUUAAGUUGCAGGGUAUAGACCCGAAACCCGGUGAUCUAGCCAUGGGCAGGUUGAAGGUUGGGUAACACUAACUGGAGGACCGAACCGACUAAUGUUGAAAAAUUAGCGGAUGACUUGUGGCUGGGGGUGAAAGGCCAAUCAAACCGGGAGAUAGCUGGUUCUCCCCGAAAGCUAUUUAGGUAGCGCCUCGUGAACUCAUCUUCGGGGGUAGAGCACUGUUUCGGCUAGGGGGUCAUCCCGACUUACCAACCCGAUGCAAACUACGAAUACCGAAGAAUGUUAUCACGGGAGACACACGGCGGGUGCUAACGUCCGUCGUGAAGAGGGAAACAACCCAGACCGCCAGCUAAGGUCCCAAAGUCAUGGUUAAGUGGGAAACGAUGUGGGAAGGCACAGACAGCCAGGAUGUUGGCUUAGAAGCAGCCAUCAUUUAAAGAAAGCGUAAUAGCUCACUGGUCGAGUCGGCCUGCGCGGAAGAUGUAACGGGGCUAAACCAUGCACCGAAGCUGCGGCAGCGACACUAUGUGUUGUUGGGUAGGGGAGCGUUCUGUAAGCCUGCGAAGGUGUGCUGUGAGGCAUGCUGGAGGUAUCAGAAGUGCGAAUGCUGACAUAAGUAACGAUAAAGCGGGUGAAAAGCCCGCUCGCCGGAAGACCAAGGGUUCCUGUCCAACGUUAAUCGGGGCAGGGUGAGUCGACCCCUAAGGCGAGGCCGAAAGGCGUAGUCGAUGGGAAACAGGUUAAUAUUCCUGUACUUGGUGUUACUGCGAAGGGGGGACGGAGAAGGCUAUGUUAGCCGGGCGACGGUUGUCCCGGUUUAAGCAUGUAGGCUGGUUAUCCAGGCAAAUCCGGAUAAUCAAGGCUGAGGUGUGAUGACGAGGCACUACGGUGCUGAAGUAACAAAUGCCCUGCUUCCAGGAAAAGCCUCUAAGCAUCAGGUAACAUCAAAUCGUACCCCAAACCGACACAGGUGGUCAGGUAGAGAAUACCAAGGCGCUUGAGAGAACUCGGGUGAAGGAACUAGGCAAAAUGGUGCCGUAACUUCGGGAGAAGGCACGCUGGUGUGUAGGUGAAGCCCCUGCGGGUGGAGCUGAGACCAGUCGAAGAUACCAGCUGGCUGCAACUGUUUAUUAAAAACACAGCACUGUGCAAACACGAAAGUGGACGUAUACGGUGUGACGCCUGCCCGGUGCCGGAAGGUUAAUUGAUGGGGUUAUCCGUAAGGAGAAGCUCUUGAUCGAAGCCCCGGUAAACGGCGGCCGUAACUAUAACGGUCCUAAGGUAGCGAAAUUCCUUGUCGGGUAAGUUCCGACCUGCACGAAUGGCGUAAUGAUGGCCAGGCUGUCUCCACCCGAGACUCAGUGAAAUUGAACUCGCUGUGAAGAUGCAGUGUACCCGCGGCAAGACGGAAAGACCCCGUGAACCUUUACUAUAGCUUGACACUGAACAUUGAGCCUUGAUGUGUAGGAUAGGUGGGAGGCUUUGAAGCGUGGACGCCAGUCUGCGUGGAGCCAACCUUGAAAUACCACCCUUUAAUGUUUGAUGUUCUAACGUUGGCCCCUUACCGGGGUUGCGGACAGUGUCUGGUGGGUAGUUUGACUGGGGCGGUCUCCUCCCAAAGCGUAACGGAGGAGCACGAAGGUUAGCUAAUCCUGGUCGGACAUCAGGAGGUUAGUGCAAUGGCAUAAGCUAGCUUGACUGCGAGCGUGACGGCGCGAGCAGGUGCGAAAGCAGGUCAUAGUGAUCCGGUGGUUCUGAAUGGAAGGGCCAUCGCUCAACGGAUAAAAGGUACUCCGGGGAUAACAGGCUGAUACCGCCCAAGAGUUCAUAUCGACGGCGGUGUUUGGCACCUCGAUGUCGGCUCAUCACAUCCUGGGGCUGAAGUAGGUCCCAAGGGUAUGGCUGUUCGCCAUUUAAAGUGGUACGCGAGCUGGGUUUAGAACGUCGUGAGACAGUUCGGUCCCUAUCUGCCGUGGGCGCUGGAGAAUUGAGGGGGGCUGCUCCUAGUACGAGAGGACCGGAGUGGACGCAUCACUGGUGUUCGGGUUGUCAUGCCAAUGGCACUGCCCGGUAGCUAAAUGCGGAAGAGAUAAGUGCUGAAAGCAUCUAAGCACGAAACUUGCCCCGAGAUGAGUUCUCCCUGAGACUAUAAGUCUCCUGAAGGAACGUUAAAGACGAUGACGUUGAUAGGCCGGGUGUGUAAGCGCAGCGAUGCGUUGAGCUAACCGGUACUAAUGAACCGUGAGGCUUAACCUU
rnacentral:rRNA from 1 species